AACUAGCUCUCUCUCCCCGGUAUCUCACAGCUGCAUCGGUGCAGGACAAUUCUCCCCUCAUGGGUCUUCAACUGUGCCAGGACAAACAUUUUUGUUGAGUUGAUUCACGGCUGCUUUAUACUUUUUGAUGUAAAUAUCAUCUUAUAACGAUAUGUGAUAUACAUGACAUCUUUCUAAAAUUUCAA